GUGCUGGCUUCAGCAGCACAUGUACUAAAAUUGGAAUGACACAGAGAAGAUUAGCAUGGCCCUUGCACAAGGGUGACAUGCAAAUUCGUGAAGCUUCCAUAUGUAAA
rnacentral:snRNA from 1 species